GAACGCUGGCGGCAGGCUUAACACAUGCAAGUCGAACGCACUUUUCGGAGUGAGUGGCAGACGGGUGAGUAACGCGUGGGAAUCUACCUAUUUCUACGGAAUAACGCAGAGAAAUUUGUGCUAAUACCGUAUACGUCCUAUUGGAGAAAGAUUUAUCGGAGAUAGAUGAGCCCGCGUUGGAUUAGCUAGUUGGUGAGGUAAUGGCCCACCAAGGCGACGAUCCAUAGCUGGUCUGAGAGGAUGACCAGCCACAUUGGGACUGAGACACGGCC
rnacentral:rRNA from 1 species